rnacentral:rRNA from 1 species
UACGUAGGGCGCAAGCGUUAUCCGGAAUUAUUGGGCGUAAAGAGCUCGUAGGCGGUUUGUCGCGUCUGCCGUGAAAGUCCGGGGCUCAACUCCGGAUCUGCGGUGGGUACGGGCAGACUAGAGUGAUGUAGGGGAGACUGGAAUUCCUGGUGUAGCGGUGAAAUGCGCAGAUAUCAGGAGGAACACCGAUGGCGAAGGCAGGUCUCUGGGUAUUAACUGACGCUGAGGAGCGAAAGCAUGGGGAGCAACAGG